GGAGUACUACACCGAGCCUCCCAAAGUACUACACCACUAAGGCACCGGAAUGCUACUCGACUACGUAUGCUGCCCCUGCCUACAACACCAAGGCCCCUAAUUACAACAACACCGAAGCGCCUAAGUACUCCACUACAACCUUUGUGCUCCAAGCUACUACACCGACGCUCCGAAGUGUUACGCUGCGUAAAAGAAGUACUCUGUCGUAUAACGGGAGAGAAAAGGUAAUCAGUCGAGUGAGGAUCUCCGGCACUCUAACAUCUGCUGUGCACCAUCCGUCACCAACUGCAUCUCUCAUCGUGUAACCAAAUCGCAAUUAUGGUGUCGUGCUGCUGUUGGGUGUUGUAUCGUUGAUGGCUGGGUCGACCACUGGUGUACCGAUGUCUCCUUGGUAUGGCGGAUACUAAACCACAACGCCGCCGCCUUACUACACGACAACAACUUACGCAAAGACCAGUUACUGCACCGAGGCACCCAAGUACUACACCACUAAGGCACUGGAGUAUUAUACCACAACUUAA